GUGGGGAAUAUUGGACAAUGGGCGAAAGCCUGAUCCAGCCAUGCCGCGUGUGUGAAGAAGGUCUUCGGAUUGUAAAGCACUUUAAGUUGGGAGGAAGGGCAGUAAGUUAAUACCUUGCUGUUUUGACGUUACCGACAGAAUAAGCACCGGCUAACUUCGUGCCAGCAGCCGCGGUAAUACGAAGGGUGCAAGCGUUAAUCGGAAUUAUUGGGCGUAAAGCGCGCGUAGGUGGUUUUGUAAGUUGGAGGUGAAAUCCCCGGGCUCAACCUGGGAACUGCCUCCAAAACUGCAUGACUAGAGUACGGUAGAGGGUAGUGGAAUUUCCUGUGUAGCGGUGAAAUGCGUAGAUAUAGGAAGGAACACCAGUGGCGAAGGCGACUACCUGGACUGAUACUGACACUGAGGUGCGAAAGCGUGGGGAGCAAACAGGAUUAGAAACCCCUGUAGUCC
rnacentral:rRNA from 1 species